rnacentral:rRNA from 1 species
UGCCAGCCGCCGCGGUAAUACAGAGGGGGUUAGCGUUGUUCGGAAUUACUGGGCGUAAAGCGCACGUAGGCGGAUCAGAAAGUUGGAUGUGAAAUCCCACAGCUUAACUGUGGAACUGCGUCCAAAACUAUCAAGCUUGAGGAUGGUAGGGGACAGUGGAACUCAAGGUGGAGCGGUGAAAUGCGUUGAUAUUAUCUGGAACACCGGUGGCGAAAGCGGCUCACUGGAUCUCUUCUGACGCUGAGGAACGAAAGCUAGGGUAGCGAACGGGAUUAGAUA